rnacentral:rRNA from 1 species
ACAGGAGACAUGAAGGGUGUAUGGUGGAUGCCUAGACUUAAGACAGCGAUGAAGGACGCGACUAACCAGCGAUAGCUUCGGGGAGGCGGUAUGUAGCCUUUGAUCCGGAGGUCUCCGAAUGGGGAAACCCAUCUGCGUAUGCAGAUACCUAUCGGGUAAUGCCGUUAGGUGCGCACCUCGGGAAGUGAAACAUCUCAGUACCGAGAGGAAAAUAAAACAAAAGCGAGCCGCGUUUUGUCCGCGCACUAUGUUUGUGCGGAUAAAACGCGUCUCUCGCGAUUCCCCAAGUAGCGGCGAGCGAAACGGGAUCUAGCCCAAACCGAGCACCUUCACAGGGUGUUUGACCAUGGUGAGCCUGCGAGGGCUUGUCGAUCUUCGGAAACGGAGAAGGUCGAAUGUCGCGUGAAGGUGCUCGGGGUUGUAAGGCAGGAGCUCCAUGCUUGCAUGGCGUAAGUUACAAAUCGUCCAUAUAGCGGAAACUGCUGGGAAGCAGUGCCCCAGAGGGUAAUGGCCCCGUACGCGAAAUAUGUACGACUUAUGUGCUCCUGUUCUUGAGUAGCUCGAGACACGAAUAGCUCGAGUGAAUCUGCCGGAACUAACCGGUAAGGCUAAAUAUGUCUUGAGAUCGAUAGUGAACUAGUACCGUGAGGGAAAGGUGAAAAGAACCCCGAGAGGGGAGUGAAAUAGAACUGAAACCAUACACUUACAAAGGGUGGGAGCGGGUCGAGAGCAAUCUCGGCGCCGUGACCGCGUGCCUAUUGAAGAAUGAGCCGGCGAGUGUACCUAUGUUGCAGGCUAAAUCCUUGAUCGGAUGCAGCCAGAGGGAAACCGAGCGUGAAUAGCGCGUGUGUAGCAUAGGUACGACCCGAAGCCAGAUGAGCUAGCCAUGAGCAGGGUGAAGUUUGGCGAAAGCCAAAUGGAGGCCCGAACCCGUUGAUCGUAUAACGUCUUGGGAUGACUUGUGGCUUGGAGUGAAAAGCUAAUCGAAUCUGGUAAUAGCUGGUUCUCUCCGAAACAGCUUUUGGGCUGGCGUCGCGUGUUCCCUCUGGGGGUAGAGCACUGGAAGGGACCAACAGGGAGAAAUCUCGUGGUCCCUAUCAACCUCCGAAUACCAGAGGUCAGAGCGCGGCAGUUAGAACGUGGGGGCGAAGCUCCAUGCGUCAAAAGGGGAAGAGCCCGGAUCGCCAGUUAAGGCCCCAAAGUCGACGCUCAGUAUAUCCAGAAGGAAGUGAGGAUCCUUUGACAAUGAGGAUGUUGGCUUAGAAGCAGCCACCAUUUAAAGAAAGCGUAACAGCUCACUCAUCGAGGGUCCUUGCGCCGAAGAUAAUCGGGAUUAAGCGUCGCGCCGAAACUGCGGGUGUGCAUUGUUUUCGAACGAUGUACGCGGUAGGAGAGCGUUCGCAUCGCGCUGAAGCUAAAGGGGUGACCCAUAGUGGAGCGUUGCGAAGUGAGGAUGCCGGUACAAGUAACCACAAUGCGGGUGAGAACCCCGCACGUCGAAAGACCAAGGUUUCCUGGACAAUGGUAAUCAUUCCAGGGUUAGUCGGGCCUAAGGGGAUGGCGAGAGCCGCACCCGAUGGACAUACGGUCAAUAUUCCGUAACCGUUCGCACAUGCGAUGGAGUGACGGACUGCUGUACUUAUCGCCUCCAAUUGGAUGGGGGUCGGUCGUGUGAGGAGGUCUGCUAGGCAAAUCCGGCAGGCGCUACUGCGAACACGGACGCAAUUUUCUCCCACGGGGGAAGAGAGGGUAGGGAGCGCGGUUCCUAGAAAAACUUCUAAGCUUCAGUGUGCGACGUCCGUACCGCAAACCAACACAGGUGGUCAAGCCGAGUAGGCUACGACGAACGAGUGAGAGGUCCUCAAGGAACUCGGCAAAAAAGCGGCCGUAAGUUAGCGAUAAGGCCUGCCCGUAGCAAUACGGGCCGCAGUGAAUGUUUUCCCAGCAACUGUUUACCAAAAACACAGCUCCCUGCGAACUCGUAAGAGGAUGUAUAGGGGGUGACACCUGACCAAUGCCGGAAGGUCAAUCACGGGUGGUCCCAAACUUCGGUUUGUGGCUGGACUGUGCAAGCCCCGGUGAAUGUCGGCGAUAACUAUAAUCGUCCUAAGGUAGCGCAAUUCCUUGUCGGGUAAAUUCCGACGUGCACGAAUGGUGUAAUGACUGGGAAACUGUCUCGAGGACUCGCUCGGUGAAAAUGCAAUACCGGUGAAGAUGCCGGUUACCUGUAGUUAGACGAAAAGACCCCAGGAGCUUUACUGCAGUUUGGUGUUGGGGCUGCGUGCUUCAUGCGUAGCAUAGUGGGGAGAGGUUGAAGCGGAGGUUUCGGCUUCCGUGGACUCGUCAGUGAAAUACCCAUCUUGAAGUGUGCAGUUCCUAACCGGUAGGAUGAACCCUAUCGGGACCGCGCCUGACGGGCAGUUUUGGUGGGGCGCUAUCCUCCUAAAAAGUAACGGAGGAGUCUAUUAAGGUCUUCUAGGCGCGAAUGGAAACCGUGCCGAUAGUGUAAUGGCAUAAGAAGGCUUAACUGCGAGGCGUACAUGCCGAGCAGAUGCGAAAGCAGAGCAUAGUGAACCGAUGGUACGCCUUAGAUGCGGCCAGAGAUUAACGGAUAUAAGUUACCCUGGGGAUAACAGGCUAGUUCCGCCCAAGCGUCCAUAGCGACGGCGGAGUUC